UACAGAGGGUGCAAGCGUUGUUCGGAAUUAUUGGGCGUAAAGCGCGUGUAGGCGGCUCGUUAUGUCGGGUGUGAAAGCCCUCAGCUUAACUGAGGAAGUGCGCCCGAAACUGGCGAGCUUGAGUGUCGGAGAGGAUAGCGGAACACCCGGUGUAGAGGUGAAAUUCGUAGAUAUCGGGUAGAACACCAGUGGCGAAGGCGGCUAUCUGGACGACAACUGACGCUGAGACGCGAAAGCGUGGGAGCAACAGGG
rnacentral:rRNA from 1 species